CCAGCAGAGAGGAUGAGGCUAG
rnacentral:miRNA from 1 species